rnacentral:lncRNA from 1 species
UGUGUUGGUCUAUCCGGAUCAAUCACCGUCCUCAUGAUGAUACUAUGAUUGAGAGUAUUUAAGAAUUAAAUACAUAUCUCUAAUUCUCAAUACCUUGAGAAUAUGUAUCGAAAGUUAAUUCUAUGGAUGAUUCAAGGACACAUUACACUUGAAUGAAACAUAAACUUGUCCUUUUAUUGAUCAAAUAAUGUAUUAAGCACAAAAUU